AUGACAAGCGCUAGAGGAACCGUUGCUGCUUGGCUCCUCCACUGUCUCAGGGUCGUCGCGCCACCACCAUGCUGUCGCGCUCCGAUUCUCCGCGGCCCUCCACGGCUCGGCGCUGACGAGGACCGACGGGAUCCCCGCCACUGCUUCCUCCACCCAGCGGCGAGAGCUGUGCCCGCUCUUCACUACGCCGGCACACCACGCUGCUCAGAUCCGUCAUGGUGGAAACCCGAUACAGACACCUGCGGGUCCACAUCCUCCAUGUCCUCUGCAAUGAAGCAACAGAGCAUCUACCCUCCGCAAUGUUCUUCCCCUGGAUCAAUAGCGCUGCCUCCUUUUCCCCUUUAUUUGUCAGGUUUCCCUACAGAAGUUGAUGGGGGUUUCGAAGAUCUUCAAGCUGCUGAAGAUUUGGGAGAUUCGGAAGAUCUUUAA
rnacentral:rRNA from 1 species